rnacentral:rRNA from 1 species
GACGAACGCUGGCGGCGUGCUUAACACAUGCAAGUCGAACGGAAAGGCCCUGCUUUUGUUGGGUGCUCGAGUGGCGAACGGGUGAGUAACACGUGAGUAACCUGCCCUUGACUUUGGGAUAACUCCAGGAAACUGGUGCUAAUACCUGAUAGCAGCUCCUGCUGCAUGGUGGGGGUCGGAAAGCUUCGGCGGUUGGGGAUGGACUCGCGGGUUACCAGCUUGUUGGUGGGGUAGUGGCUUACCAAGGCUUCGACGGGUAGCCUGCAUGAGAGGGUGACCGGCGACAUUGGGACUGAGGUACGGACCAGACUCCUACGGGAGGCAGCAGUGGGGAAUAUUGCACAAUGGGCGGAAGCCUGAUGCAGCAACGCCGCGUGCGGGAUGACGGCCUUCGGGUUGUAAAAAGCUUUGUCCUGUGACGAAGCGUGAGUGACGGUAAUGGGUAAAGAAGCACCGGCUAACUACGUG